GAUGAACGCUGGCGGCGUGCUUAAUACAUGCAAGUCGAACGGAGAUAAUUUAAAGUUUACUUUGAAUUAUCUUAGUGGCGGAUGGGUGAGUAACGCGUGAGUAACCUGCCUUUCAGUGUGGGAUAGCUUCUUGAAAAGGAAGGUAAUACCACAUAACAUUCAAAGAUCGCAUGAUCAUUGAAUCAAAGGAGCAAUUCGCUGAAAGAUGGACUCGCGUCCGAUUAGCUAGUUGGUGAGAUAACAGCCCACCAAGGCGACGAUCGGUAGCUGGACUGAGAGGUUGAACAGCCACACUGGGACUGAGACACGGCCCAGACUCCUACGGGAGGCAGCAGUAAGGGAUAUUGCGCAAUGGAGGAAACUCUGACGCAGCAACGCCGCGUGAAGGAAGACGGUUUUCGGAUUGUAAACUUCUUUUGUUAGGGACGAUAGUGACUGUACCUAACGAAUAAGCUCCGGCUAACUACGUG
rnacentral:rRNA from 1 species